GACGAACGCUGGCGGCGUGCUUAACACAUGCAAGUCGAACGGGAACCUUUAUUUCGGUAAAGGUGAGAGUGGCAAACGGGUGAGUAACACGUAGGCAACCUGCCGACAGGAUGGGGACAACAUUCCGAAAGGAAUGCUAAUACCGAAUGGAGUCCGGAGAUGGCAUCAUCUCCGGAUAAAAGAUGGCCUCUGAAUAUGCUAUCGCCUGUCGAUGGGCCUGCGUCUGAUUAGCCAGUUGGCGGGGUAACGGCCCACCAAAGCGACGAUCAGUAGCCGGUCUGAGAGGAUGAACGGCCACAUUGGGACUGAGACACGGCCCAGACUCCUACGGGAG
rnacentral:rRNA from 1 species